GGUCCGCGCGCGUCUGCCUCCCCGCGCCGUCGACGCGUCGGCCCCACCCCGCGCAUGUGCAUGCUCGCCGCGGGAGGCAUGCUGGGAGUUGUAGUCCGCGUGGGAGGCGGCCCGGCCCGGUACGGGUCUGUGCUGCCAGCGGCCGGCUUGGCGGGAGAAAUUGCUUUCCGUUGGGGAGCACCGGCCGUCGAGCCUCCGGGAGCACAGCGCCAGGCUCUCUGGUAACAGAAUCCCUUUUGACUUUGACCAUUUGUCAAGAAGCGCACACGACAGGGCCGGUUUUGUACUCUCGGUUAAAACUGCGAGGACGUGACAUCAGCCCUGUGAACUUGUGAAGGACCGAUGCGAAAGCGAGCAAAACAAAUACAAGUGACGCACGCACGAACCGGCCCGUGCCAGGCCCAAGCUUCCCUGGGCCUGCAAGCCCCUCCCGCGCCUACACCAGGACCAGGCAGGCCCCUGGAGCAAGGCCUGGCUUCGAUACACCUUUCAGAAAUGCAGCGAGAAAGAGGACUGAAGAGCCUGCUUGAGGUGCAUUCCAGCUAUGCCUGAGUGACACUGCUGACUGAGAAGAUUUUAGAAUAACUUUCUGAACACACAAACACCAAGCAGGCCAAAGUUCAAGGACGAUGGAAGUAAUAUUGAAGUAGGCAUUCCAGGAGCUGCAGCUCAAAGCCAAGGCAAGUAGCAGAUUUUUGGCCAAAUCCCAAGACUUUCUCUAAUGUCACUUAAGGUAAAGAUAGCUUUUAGGCAGGAACACUUUACGUAUAUUCACAUGAAGGUUUCAGUCAACUAAAACACGAGUCUUAUCCACUCAGAUGGCAAUUAAGUAAUAUUUUUCCAUCCAAUCUUGUAGUUGAUUUGUUUGGAUUAAAGAGAAAAUGAUGGCACUGGGGUAAAGCUCAGUGAUACAGUCCUUACCUAGCAUGUUUAAGGCUCUGGGUUUGUUCCCUAGAACUGAAGAGAGAGAGAGAGGGAGGGAGGAGGGAGAGAGAAUGGUAUUAUAACUUCUGUUAAAUUUUAUAUGAUUAGAUAUAGGCAGGCUUAGACUUUAACAAGCCCACAUUUUUUAACCUGUCAAAGUAUUUCUUGUCCCUCCCUGAUAAUCAAUGAGCUAUCCACAGCCCAUACAAACAGCUGAUACAUGUCUAAUGAGUCUGUCAAGGAAUGAGUCCCACCAUGGCUACCUAGCAUUUGGGGUUGAAAUUAUUCCAUUCAUCAGCAUUUACUUAUAACCAAGUCAAAAAAGGCUGUUUACGCCAGUCAUCGAACUGUUGGCUGCACUCUCAUGGAGUCCACAUUUUUCAAAGAUGUUGUGAGCCUGUCUUGCUGCAAACCAGUGUGUUCCUCUGAACUUACUCUUUACAUUUCAUGUUUAUUCGAAGUGAGUCCAUACUAGCUUUUAGAGAUGACUGCUGUAAAACCACCAAAGUGGAUGAUAUUCUUUUCUAUAGUUUUGUUCAAGAUGGAAAAUUUCAAUAGUGUGCAGUUUGUAGAAUUACCUCAUUACCUCCACACUUUUCCCCCCAGCACUGGGGAUUGUCAUGCCUGAUCUAAGUGAGUCCUUCACAAACAAACAGGACAAAAACAAACAGGCUGCUCUCAGCAAAUGACAGGCUUCAGGCGCCAAAAGGUCCAGUGAUUGUCUACACACCUGUGCAGACUGCCCUUGGACUCAAUCAUAAACAUUUCACCCCAGAUUCCUUAGCCCCUUCAAUACCUAUGUAAGCCUAAUUCCUUUCCCCGUUAGCUGCUAAUAUCUCUCCUAGUAUUAGCCCAUCCACCCAUGGAUGAAAUCUCUGCUAGCUAGCUGCUGCUAUUUCUAUCUCCCAGCCCACCCUCACAUAGAUGUAAUGAGCUCAGCUUUUCCCAGCUAGCUGCAAAAAUCUGAUUUUAGUCUCUGUUCACUGGAAUAAACUUUUCU